GAACUACAAGAAUAAAACUAAGUUAAUUCAAUCUUUCUUUCUCUUCCCUGCUCCUCCACCUGGUCUCCUUCUUGCUCAAUUUCCUGCCGAACAAGCCCAGUCCCUCUUUACCUUUCAGUUUUGCCGAAUCAAGCUCAUCCCGUCUAUCCUCAGUUAGCUAGGUCCAGAUAAGUGAGUAGCAAGGUGUUAAACAAGCUCUAGCAAAUCAAAGGAAGAGCAUACAAGGAAUUGCAAUAAAUAAGCAAGGUAACAACAAUUAAUGAUUUGUUAAUAUUACAGUGUAUGUAUAUGGUUAUCAGUUAGCAAUUAAAAUUGAUUGGGUUAAUUAUGUUAUGAGCUAUGGCCAAAUGAUUAGGCAACAAAAAUAAAGAUAUGACAGUAGGUAUAUCUUGAAUUGAGGUAAGAAACUAAAAGUUAAGCUCAUAUUUAUGCAAAACAGUUAGUUAUAAGGAAAUUCAAGUUAGUUUGGCAAAGACAGGUAAUUUAUGAAAUGGGUAAGUUAACUGACAUAAAUUGUGGUAUGUAGCAAUAAUGAUAUGUGAUAUAGCUAAUUAUUAUCAAAUGAAGUGGAGUAUACAAAGUUUACUUAAAGUUAGUAAACUAGUUAAUGCAAGUAUAUUCAUGUAUGGUCUUCGUUAAAAAUUGGAUCCUUGUGGACUGAAUAAGAGCCAUGGAGAUUAGCGUGGUUGUGCAGAGUAAUAAGGUGGGAAAAAUUGGGCUAGAACACAAACCAAGCUCUAUGAAAACUGAAUUUUAAAGCGACACACACUAUGUGUUCGCUAAAACUCCUCUAAGGACUGUUUUUGUUAAAAAAUGAAAACUAAGCGAAGCCAAGACCUGAGUUAUAUAUAUACACAUUAUAUAUAACUAAUUAGAAAGUUUUGGUGAAUCGAAUUAAGAGAGGAAACAUUUUUGAGACAUAACGAAAAGUUGAAAACUAGUUUGGCUACUGACCUUGAGGCCAAUUUCGGGACUAGUUAUAUUUCUAGAAAAAUUCUGGGUUUUUGGGGAAGUAUAGUACACUGAAUAAGGAAUUCAUAGCCUCUAGAAUGGACUAAUUCCGACCUCGGAGGAGAGAGUUAUGACAUUCCAAAGUAAACGUGUCAAAUCUGUCCAAAAUCUGGAAAUCAGAUUCUGACCAGCCCGUUGCACGAAUUUUCUGGAAUUUUGUGUUAUGAAUUUGAAAAUGGUCAAAGAAUAAAAGUUGUAGUUCCGGAAGUUAGCUUCGCGUGGGCAUAAGAAUCGCUCAAAAAUGUUUUGAAACGAAAAAGUUGUGACUGUUUUAGCGAAAAAGGGUAAAGCUGGAAAUGAAUUGAAAACUGUUAUGAACGUCCACUUUUGACGUACUGUUUGGGCUGCCUAAUGAACCCGAAUUGGGUAACUCGUAUUUUUUAAAAAUAGUCUUACAUACCAUGUAUAACAUAUUCAAAAAUGAGCGCGAUCCGACAUGCGAGCUAAAAAUGGAAAAAUUGCAGAGUAGCCGCGUCGCGGAGGGGGCUGCUGCCCACAGCAGCAGCAGCACACAGACAGCAGCAGCGCACAAUAGCAGUUGGCUGGGGGCUGUUUUGGCCUCUUGUUUAACGCGUCUAAAUUACCCAAAAUGUUCGGUUAGCAUUUUUUAAAAAUAGGUGGACAUACCACCUAUAGCAUAUCCAAAAUUGGUCGGGAUCGGACGAAUGAGACGGAAACUAAAAAUAUGCAAAGUGGACGUAAGAACAUGUUCGUUGGCGUCGUGACACGUAUUUCAAGGUGGAGACACAGAUUUCGAGGUUUUUGACAGUUUCACGUAUUCUGAGGCAUCGAGGCGGAUAUAGAACGCAGUUUAAAACCUAUAUAACAUGUACAACCGUUUGAAGCAUACUAGACGCUAUAAAAGCAAUAUGUAACAUGUACAUGGGUAAUAUAUCCGUGAGAUAGGAUAUGUUGACGUUAAUGAAAGCUAUUCCAAAGUUAUACCUCGGAACUGAACGGUUUUUGAAAUACAAAGCGAUAAUUGUGUAAACGGAGUUGAAAAUUCAACGCUUGACAUUAAUAAGGUAUGUGUAGGUAUAAGACAUACAAAUAGCAUAUGUCUACCUACAAACCAAGUAAAUGAGGCAAUGUUUGACAUUAUAAGAGACGCGUAUAUGCAAAAACAUAUAUGUACUUCAUGUGUACAUGAAAUGGGAAAAAGUAAUGUAAUAUGAACGCAUUAAGCCUAGAAAGCUAAUAUUCGUGUGAAAUAGUAUUUAAAUUACUCACGAAAGCGAAAAUAAGAUAUAAUUAUGCAAAGUAAAGGCACAAAUGCACUAUAUGACUAUAAGUCUACAUAUAGAUACGUGUAAAGUCUGUAAAUGCAUUAUAAAAGGGUUAUAAACUGUAAAUGUAAUGAAUUGACAUUGUAAAAGCCGUGUUGGAACUUUUUGAGAAUGUAUAGCUAUAAUAAGCCGAAACCUAAAAUAUUCUAAAGGAAUAUGAAAGUUUCUUAGAAAUAAGAAUAUCAGAUAUUGAUAUAGUUUAUGUGAAUAUUGUUAGCUAUACAGGUUUUGGGAUAUGAAUCUGUGACUAAUGUAUGUAUACAUGUGAACAUAAUUGUGUAGGAUUCGGGAAGCGAAGUUAAACAAAAGUUUGUAUCAAUAGUCAUUGAACGAGGCAAGUUUUUCAGUUCUAUUAUGUUUGUGGAUUAAAUGUGAUUAUGUGGUGAGUUACAUACCGUGCUUUAUGAAUUGUUAAAGUCAAAAUAUGACUAAGUUAAUUGGGUUAUGGAACUCAAUUUAUAUGUGAUAUGUGAUAGCACGUGUUGUAUAAUGUAACUCGAUAAAUUAGAAAUGUAUAAUGCAUGAAUGUAUGCUUUGCAAGGAAUUAUUGAUGCAUGUAGGAUAUGCAUGGUAAAGAAUAUAUGUUGCAUGUGGAUAUGCAUAGUAAAGGAAAUAUAGUGCAUAUGGAAUUGUGUGCUAUGUGAAACAUGAUAGACUGUUAAAUUUGCUGGGCUGUCGAGCUCAAUCUUGCAAACACAAACUUUUUGCAGGUUAAUGAUGUUAAGUAAUAUUACUUGCUAUACAGAUGAUGAAAAUUAAACGAUGUGCAAAAUGAAUACAUUUUCUUAAAUUAGAAAUGGUAUAAAUUUAUGAUUGAUAGUUUUGUCAAAUGUAAAUGGGCAGUUAUGUAUAGUUUAAAAUGUUGAAUGGAUAAAUAAUGUUUAUUCUGAAAUGAGAAUAAAUAUGAUUCUAGUAUAAAGAAGAAUUGUAAAGGUUGCGAUUCAGGGAAUGAAUGAAUGGAAAUAAAGAAGAAAACAAAAAUUAUUCCGCAUUUUUUAGCUAUUUUAACAUUAAAUAAUGUUUUAAAGCUAUAACAAGGUAGUAUUAACGCACAAGAUCGGGAAGGGAAAUGGUCCCGAUUUUGGGGUUGUUACAGUUGGUAUCAAAGCUAUAGGUAUGAUAUAUUGGUAUUAUAUAUUUAUUAUAUGUAAAUAAAUUAUAGGGGUAAUUUAUUAAAGAAAAUGAGAUGGGUAGAAUUAAAAUAAUUUAUAAGAAAAUUGUUUUAAUAUAAGAAAAAAUUGCACUUAAUAUAUUAUCCUAUUAGAAUUGGAAAUCAGGUAAAAGAUACUAUUUACGCUUUGUGUAUGUAACAAAUGACAUGUCAUUAAUUGGGUUAUUGUUGGUAAGUUAGUUUUUAUUUUAUAAGAAGUAAAUAAAAACAAUGAGAAAUCAGAUAUAAGUCCAGUAUGAGCUGGAGGAAGGAUAGCAAUUUGGUGAACGGUAAGACUGUUUUAGUACGAGCUGUCCAUGUAUUGUGCAUAGUUGAAUGGUUUUACGAAUUUAAUUAGCAUUCUAUUUAAAUAGGAAGUAUGUAAACUUCUAUGCUUUCAAAGAAUGGCAUAAUAAGGUGUGUAAUUGCAGCUAAUUAUCGAGCAAGGGGGGAGGCAAGUUGCUGCACAUUUGCAGCAACAGUUGUUAGCUAACUGCUAAUGCAAUGUAAAGCCACACUAAAAUUUAUUAAAUCCCACAAUAAAAACUAUAUUGGAACUUGUUGAGCGAAAUAUGAUUAUAUAUUAAGCUGAAACUUAAAAUAUUUGAAAAAGAAUAUGGAAGUUUCCUAGAAAUGAGAAUAUAAGUUAUUGAUAUAACGUAUAUGAAUGUUUAAUAUCUAUACAGGAGUAUGUGGCUAAUGUAUGCCUACAACAUAAUUGUGUAGGAUUCGUGAAGCGAAGUUAAACUAGCUAAAGUUUGUAUCAAUGGUCAUUGAACGAGGCAAGUUUUUCAGUUCUGUUAUGUUUGUGGAUGGAAUGUGGUUAUGUGCUAAAUUACAUAUCAUGCUCUAUGAAUUGUUAAAGUCAAAAUAUGACUAAGUUAAUUGGGUUAUGAAACUCAAUUUAUAUGUGAUUUGUGAUAACACAUGUUGUAUGAUGUAACUCGAUAAAUUAGAAAUGUAUAAUGCAUGAAUGUAUACUUUGUAAGGAAUUAUUGAUGAAUGUAGGAUAUGCAUAGUAAAGAAUAUAUGUUGCAUGCGGAUAUGCAUAUUAAAGGAAAUGUAGUGCAUAUGGAAUUGUGUGCUAUGUGAAACAUGAUAGAC
rnacentral:lncRNA from 1 species